rnacentral:lncRNA from 1 species
AGAAGAUGUACCUUGCAUGGACACAAACAGCAUCAAAAAUGACGAAUAAGAGUUUCCUUAAAAGUUGGGAUAGCUGUCUUAUACCAAACUUCUCUAUUCCACAUCUAAAUCCAAGUUCUCUCCACUCUGCUGGUCCCAAUGUAACCAAAAACAUAGAUAGGUAUAAGACAGAUAAAUAAUUUGUCCUAAGCACUAAAUCAAAUGUCUUGUCCUGGGUCUUCUUGCUGUGUACCUGUUGAUUUUCCCAUUGCAUGUCCAAAUCUGACUAGAAGCAACUUCAGGCUUAUUUUCAUGCUUUCUGUCUACCACUUCAACUGAAUUCAUGGGCAUGUAGGGAACCUUCAGC